GCCCUACGGGGGGCAGCAGUGGGGAAUAUUGCACAAUGGGGGAAACCCUGAUGCAGCAACGCCGCGUGAGUGCUGCCGGCCUUCGGGUUGUACCGCUCUGUCUUCAGGGCCGCUAAUGACGGUACCUGAGGAGGAAGCCACGGCUAACUACGUGCCAGCAGCCGCGGUAAUACGUAGGUGGCGAGCGUUGUCCGGCUUUACUGGGCGUAAAGGGCGCGUAGGCGGCUUUUUCAGUGAGCUGUGCCAUCCUCGGGCUCAACUUGCGUGCUGCAUUUCAAACUGGAAGUCUAGCGUGCAGGCGAGGG
rnacentral:rRNA from 1 species